rnacentral:lncRNA from 10 species
CAAAGAUUCUGAUAGCUAAACUUGAUUAUCUGAAAUUAAGAGGAAUGUUGUGUAAGAUAAAGGUUCAGUCCUAGGUGAUUAAGUUAUUACUUCUGGUGGAUUCCAAGAUGGGCAUCCUCCUGUGUUACUCUCAAUUUACAAUGAGGGCUUCCCCAUAAACAACUUGGUGGAAACACCUGCAUCUAGCUCUCUAGAUUGGCAUCAAAGCAUUAAAGAUAUAAACUAAGACAAUGGGGUUGCACUUAGCAGUAGAGAGCUUCGAGCCUGGACUCUUAGGAGACCUCCUGAGCUUUUCCUGCAGUACGGAGUGAUGCAGGAAGAAUGGACACUCAACAUCCUCUUAGUCAGUGACUAGGUUAUGUAUGAACAUGCUGCAAGGACACCAAGAGUUACUGUCACUUUUCUCAGUUUCUACCACAUGAGUCUGUGUUCCUUUCCUUCUUUUACGUGUUAUGCGACAGGCACCAGUAACUAUACAUAAUGGUGGAGUGGGAUUUUCCCCCACAACUAUGAGAAGUCUCUGACAACUUCAUUUCCAGGCAGGAUGGGCUCCACCUCGCUCCUAUCAUGUGACUCAGAGGUUGCUACCACCUCCUUCCCUGAACAGGACACGGCAUCCUGUCUACAACACCCACCACCUGCCACGGGAAGUGCAGCCAAUCGGCUGCACGGAUCCUACAGUAUGUGGCAUGCGACUUCUUGUGGGGACAUGAAACACCUCGGCUGAUACCCCUCUUCCUCACAGCAUCAAGGAAAUGAAGGAAACACGGUGCCACGUCUGUCUCCAGAGGAGGAAUGAGGUCUUCCUAGGCUCCAGGCACCACCACAUUCACCCCUUUGAGAUUUGCAAAUUGUGUCCUCCACCUAUUUUUGGCUCUUCUGCAUUUGUUUUAUUACAGGCAGGGAACACAAGCUUUAUAGAUGAGGGGGUGUAAAAUCUAUUCUCUAAAAUCCCGGUUUCUUGAUGAAAAGUGAAUGAAUGAAAUGAGUCAAUGGGUUUAUCAGGAUCCCACCCCAGCCUGCAUUACAGGUAACAUUCCAAUGAAACCACAUCUUAGUCAGCAAGCCUUUGACUCAAAAAAUUAGUGUGCCCAAAACUCCUUGAAAACACUAACCAAACUAAUAUGCACUGAAGUACAGAAAAAUUAGCCUUUAAAGAUUAGCAGACUAGGUUCUAAUCCUGGCUCCUCCAUUGAUAAACUCUAAAACAACCUCCAGCAGGUUAUGUAAUUUUUAGGAGCUCAGUAAGAUGUAGACAACAAUAUUUACCUCCAAAGACUCCAGAGGGGAGUAACCAUAAUAAUGUACAUAAAGCCUCUGGCAAAAUGGUAGCCUCAUGUGGCUAUUCAGUGCUCAAUGCAGCUAGUGGGACCUGGCAAAUGUUGUGUAAAAUACAUAACAGGUUUCAAAGUUUAGUAUGAAAUGAAAAAAGUCAAUUAUCCCAUUCUUUAUAAUACUGAUUACAUGUUGAAAUAACAUUCUGCAAUAUAUUGUGAAAUAUAUUACUUUUUUAAAAUGUGCACAAUUAUAUAUUUUACACUAGAGAUCAAGAAAAAUGAUAGCUUGUGUUGACAGGUUGACUUAUUUUUGUGCCUAUCUUAAAAGCUUCUGUUACACCUGAAUCAUUAAAAAGUAUCCCAAAAUUGCUGACUUCAUAUAUUUUUUAGGUGUCAUUUUUACUUUAUUUAAGGAAAAAAGGGUGGGGGGAC